GGCACUUGGCAGGAGUAAGAGCUGUAGCUCUUGCAACAAAACCUGGGCAGAGCGGAGAGCUCAGUGCAGUGACAGGGUGGUGUGACUGCUCCUGAGUAUUUUGAAACCACUGUGGUGUUUGCAAUGUGAUAGCUCUGGGGGUAUUUUCAUGCACAGCCUGCUGCCAUCACAGUAUCACCCAGAGGCGAGGGGAGAGAGCUGGAUGAGCCAAUGCAACGACAGGUUUUAUGCCUUUACUGACUCUGAGCUCGAGCUGAAAUCAAAGAGCAGCCAGCUGUCAUGAACUCUUCCAUGGGAGGUGCCUGAGAUAACAUUUCUCCCAAAAAACUCCAUUUCAGAAUGUCUCAACAUUCAGCAUUAUUCAGAGUUCUCCCCACCUGAGAGACUCACCAGGGCUGGUGCUGCUCAUGCAGCUGUGUGCAGCUACAACAGUAGGAGUGAGCUCUGUUGGGAACAGAGAAGUGACUCCUGGACCUUUCUCUGCUCCCGUGAGAAAAGCAAGCCUUGGAAGAGACCCUCAGAAAGCUUUCCUGGUGACACCCCAACAAGGGAUGAGGAGGAACAAGGAAGGAGCUUGUUUUCUGGACAAUUCACCCAUUAGAGUCUGUUUGCUGAGCCCAUUAAGUGGCUAUUUUCUGUUACCUUGAAUUCUGAAGCCAUGGGAAACAACUGAUGGGGAUUAUUUGAGCCCUCCCACACAGGUUCAUGGAUGCAGAAUCCUCCUGUUUCCAUGCUGGCCAUCAGGACCUUAUCCUGUCAAGUUUCAACAAGUUCAGUAGAGAGCUAACAUUGUUACAGGAUUUUGGUUCCUAGACCAAGAAUUGAAAAAGAGAUUUGUCUGAGAGAGAAUAGAGAAUGGAGGAAUUUUUUGUCACCUUUCCCCCCCCUUUCUCUUUUUGGUGAAAGACAACAUGGAAAAUGUCAAGAAGUGUAUACAGGAAAAUGAUAGAUCUUAAGAAAUCUGUCCCUACUGGAAAAAAUACUUUUGCUUCCAAGAGAAGUCAAAGUAAAAUUUUGAAAGGCACUUACCUGACUUUCAAGGACUAUAAACUCCUAGAGGUCCUCUGGCUUUGGAAAAAUGUGUCUGAAUCCUCUGUAGUUCAGAAAUAAAACUUUCAUUUGGAUGAGGAUGAUUUCCCCU
rnacentral:lncRNA from 1 species